UACGUAGGGUGCAAGCGUUGUCCGGAAUUAUUGGGCGUAAAGAGCUCGUAGGCGGUUUGUCGCGUCUGCUGUGAAAAUCAGGGCUUAACCCUGGACCUGCAGUGGGGUACGGGCAGACUAGAGUGCGGUAGGGGGUAGAGGGAAUUCCCAGUGUAGCGGUGAAAAUGCGUAGAGAUUGGGGAAAGAACACCGGUGGGCGAAAAGCGCUCUAC
rnacentral:rRNA from 1 species